CAGAGUGCCGCCUGGUAUUGUC
rnacentral:miRNA from 10 species